UGCUCAGUAACACGUGGAUAACCUACCCUUAGGACCGGAAUAACCCCGGGAAACUGGGGAUAAUACCGGAUAAGCCAUAGACGCUGGAAUGCCCUAUGGUUCAAAGCUCCGGCGCCUAAGGAUGGAUCUGCGGUCUAUCAGGUUGUAGUGGGUGUAACGUACCUACUAGCCGACGACGGAUACGGGUUGUGAGAGCAAGAGCCCGGAGAUGGAUUCUGAGACACGAAUCCAGGCCCUACGGGGUGCAGCAGGCGCGAACACUUUACAAUGCGGGAAACCGCGAUAAGGGAACCCCGAGUGCCAGCAUCAAAUGUUGGCUGUCCGGAUGAUUAAAAAUCAUUUGUUAGCAAGGGCCGGGCAAGACCGGUGCCAGCCGCCGCGGUAACACCGGCGGCCCGAGUGGUAGCCGUUUUUAUUGGGUCUAAAGGGUCCGUAGCCGGCCUGAUAAGUCCUUUGGGAAAUCUGGCAGCUUAACUGUCAGGCUUCUAAGGGAUACUGUCAGGCUUGGGACCGGAAGAGGUAAGGGGUACUCCAGGGGUAGGAGUGAAAUCUUGUAAUCCCUGGGGGACCAUCUGUGGCGAAGGCGCCUUACCAGAACGGGUCCGACGGUGAGGGACGAAAGCUAGGGGAGCAAACCGGAUUAGAUACCCGGGUAGUCCUAGCUGUAAACGAUGCUCGCUAGGUGUCAGACACGGUGCGACCGUGUUUGGUGCCGCAGGGAAGCCGUUAAGCGAGCCACCUGGGAAGUACGGUCGCAAGGCUGAAACUUAAAGGAAUUGGCGGGGGAGCACUACAACGGGUGGAGCCUGCGGUUUAAUUGGAUUCAACGCCGGAAAACUCACCGGGUGCGACAGCAACAUGUAGGUCAGGCUGAAGGUCUUACCUGAAUCGCUGAGAGGAGGUGCAUGGCCGUCGUCAGUUCGUACUGUGAAGCAUCCUGUUAAGUCAGGCAACGAGCGAGACCCGCGCCCACAGUUGCCAGCAUGUUCUCUGGAACGAUGGGUACACUGUGGGGACCGCCGCUGCUAAAGCGGAGGAAGGAACGGGCUACGGUAGGUCAGUAUGCCCCGAAUCUCCCGGGCUACACGCGGGCUACAAUGGUUGGGAACAUGGGCACCUACCCUG
rnacentral:rRNA from 1 species